rnacentral:rRNA from 1 species
GAUGAACGCUGGCGGCGUGCCUAAUACAUGCAAGUCGAACGGAGAUUGUAGCAAUACGGUCUUAGUGGCGAACGGGUGAGUAACGCGUUGGUAACCUGCCCCGAAGCGUGGGAUAACGGUCCGAAAGGACCACUAAUACCACAUGUGAUCCCGAGGAAUAGAUACUUGGGAUGAAAGGAGCAAUUCGCUUCGGGAGGGACCUGCGUCCCAUCAGCUAGUUGGUAGGGUAACGGCCUACCAAGGCGAUGACGGGUAGGGGACCUGAGAGGGUGGCCCCCCAAAUGGAACUGAAACACGGUCCAUACACCUACGGGUGGCAGCAGUAGGGAAUAUUGGUUAAUGUGCGAAAGCGCGAACCAGCAAACGCCGCGUGUGCGAUGAAAGGCCUUCGGGUCGUAAAGCACUUUUUGCAGGGAAGAGGAAGGACGGUACCUGCAGAAUAAGUCUCGGCUAACUACGUG